UCGGGAAUUUUGGACAAUGGGCGCAAGCCUGAUCCAGCCAUGCCGCGUGGAUGAUGAAGGCCCUAGGGUUGUAAAAUCCUUUCGUUGGGGACGAUAAUGACGGUACCCAAAGAAGAAGCUCCGGCUAACUUCGUGCCAGCAGCCGCGGUAAUACGAAGGGGGCUAGCGUUGUUCGGAUUUACUGGGCGUAAAGCGCGUGUAGGCGGGUCGUUAAGUUGGGGGUGAAAUCCCGAGGCUCAACCUCGGAAUUGCCUUCAAAACUGGCGACCUGGACCUAAGUAGAGGCAAGUGGAAUUGCGAGUGUAGAGGUGAAAUUCGUAGAUAUUCGCAGGAACACCAGUGGCGAAGGCGACUUGCUGGACUUAUGGUGACGCUGAGACGCGAAAGCGUGGGGAGCAAACAGGAUUAGAUACCCCCGUAGUCCCUGAGCGGGCUGGCAAGGCGCAU
rnacentral:rRNA from 1 species